UGGGGAAUAUUGCACAAUGGGCGAAAGCCUGAUGCAGCAACGCCGCGUGAAGGAUGAAGGUCUUCGGAUCGUAAACUUCUAUCAACAGGGAAGAAAAAAUGACGGUACCUGAUUAAGAAGCUCCGGCUAACUACGUGCCAGCAGCCGCGGUAAUACGUAGGGAGCAAGCGUUAUCCGGAUUUACUGGGUGUAAAGGGUGCGUAGGCGGCCACCUAAGUCUAAAGUGAAAUUUCGGGGCUCAACCCCGGAGCUGCUUUGGAAACUGGGAGGCUAGAGUAUAGGAGAGGAAAGCGGAACUCCACGUGUAGCGGUGAAAUGCGUAGAGUAUUAGGUAGGAACGAACCA
rnacentral:rRNA from 1 species